AGUGCGCAUUUCUCCUAGUGCGCAGGCUCGUUGGAGGUUUUCCGGGGACCCUUUCCAACCUGGCUGUCUCAAAGGGAAGCAGAUUAUGCAAGGCUUUGUGUUCCAGCUUAGGCUAAACCAAGAACAACUUUAUCCUAAGGUCAAGAGGAAAUAUUUGAUAGGUUCUAAAGAAGGGAGGAGGAAACUGAGACCCAGGCAGAAGAAUUUGUUCUUCAAACUGCGAAAGCAGAGCUACCCCAAUUCAUCCACACGCAUAGUAUUUCGGAGAAAAAAAGAAAACCCUAUGAUGGCAAGCAGUCAUAAGGAUGAAUGAGUGGCUUGAUCUCGGCUCACUGCAACCUUCGCCUCCUGGGUUCAAGCAAUUCUACCUGCCUAGCCUCCCUAGUAGCUGGGAUUACAGGCACCCCGCAUCACAACGGCAUCACGAAUUCGAAUUUAGUAUUUUAGAGUGAUCUUAAUAG